UACGUAGGGGGCUAGCGUUGUCCGGAAUCAUUGGGCGUAAAGAGCGUGUAGGCGGCCCGGUAAGUCCGCUGUAAAAGUCAAAGGCUCAACCUUUGAAUGUCAGUGGAUACUGCCGGGCUAGAGUCCGGAAGAGGCGAGUGGAACUCCUGGUGUAGCGGUGGAAUGCGCAGAUAUCAGGAAGAACACCGACGGCGAAGGCAGCUCGCUAGGACAGUACUGACGCUGAGACGCGAAAGCGUGGGGAGCAAACAGG
rnacentral:rRNA from 1 species